rnacentral:rRNA from 1 species
AUGGAGCCACAGGAAGGAAGGAAAGGGAUACCAUCUCUGCUGUCCUCGCAGGGGGAGUGCAUUGCCACCAACAUCACACAGCUCAUUGGUUGGACACCACUGAUAGAACUGAGAAACAUCACUGAGAAAGACAGCAUAGGUGCUCGGCUGAUUGGGAAGAUUGAGCCGUACCAGCCCCUUUCCUCUGUGAAGGAUCGGAGUGCUCUCAGAUUGAUUGAAGAUGCAGAGGAGAAAGGCUUGAUCACACCUGGCAUCACAACACUGCUGGGGGUCACAAGUGGUAAUCUUGGCAUCGGCGUGGCGUUCAUUGCUGCUCAGAAAGGAUACAAGUUCAUCGCCCUCAUGCCUGCUAAACUCUCGCUUGAUAAGCAGAUACUGAUGCGAUACCUUGGCGUAGAAGUGGUAUUAGUUGAUGCUGUACAGCAUGGAUUCAAAGCUUUACUUGAUAGGGUAGAACAGAUGAAGAAGGAUGUGGAAGAUGUGUAUGUUCUAGAUCAAUUCACCAAUCCUGCAAAUCCCGAUGCCCACUUCAGAUGGACUGGACCUGAGAUAUGGAAAGAUACAGCAGGCAAAGUGGACAUAUUUAUAGCUGCUUCAGGUUCAGGAGGCACCAUCACAGGCGUGGGGAGGUAUCUCAAGACGAAGAACCCAUCUGUAAAAUUAAUAUGCGUUGAACCAGCUGAAAGUCCAGUGAUUUCAGGUGGCGAGCCAGCCUUCCACAACAUCCUAGGAAUAGGGCCUGGUUUUGUCCCAGAAAUAUUGGAUAGAUCCCAGAUAGAUGAAAUUGUAACAGUAACUACUCAAGAAGCUAUGGACAUGGCUAGAAGAUUGGCAAGGGAAGAAGGAUUGCUUGUUGGCAUAUCUUCAGGGGCAAAUGCAGCUGCCUGCUUAAAGGUUGCAUCAAGAGAGGAGAACAGGGGAAAGAUGAUUGUGACAAUGUUUUCCAGUGGUGCAGAGAGGUAUCUGAACUCGGAGCUCUUUGCGCAGGUUAAGGAAGAGUGCGUCAACGUCAACAUGACCUUCUGA